rnacentral:rRNA from 1 species
CGGAGGGUGCAAGCGUUAUCCGGAUUCACUGGGUUUAAAGGGUGCGUAGGCGGGUAUGUAAGUCAGCGGUGAAAUCCCCGAGCUUAACUUGGGAACUGCCGUUGAUACUAUAUAUCUUGAAUGUCGUGGAGGUUAGCGGAAUAUGUCAUGUAGCGGUGAAAUGCUUAGAUAUGACAUAGAACACCCAUUGCGAAGGCAGCUAACUACGCGAAUAUUGACGCUGAGGCACGAAAGCGUGGGGGAUCAAACAGGAUUAGAUACCCUGGCAGUCCACGCCCUAAACGAUGAUUACUCGACAUUGGCGAUACACUGUCAGUGUCUGAGCGAAAGCAUUAAGUAAUCCACCUGGGAAGUACGACCGCAAGGUUG